rnacentral:rRNA from 1 species
UACGUAGGGAGCAAGCGUUGUCCGGAAUCAUUGGGCGUAAAGCGCGCGUAGGCGGCCCCGUAAGUCCGCUGUGAAAGUCAAAGGCUCAACCUUUGAAAGCCGGUGGAUACUGUGGGGCUAGAGUCCGGAAGAGGCGAGUGGAAUCCUGGUGUAGCGGUGGAAUGCGCAGAUAUCAGGAGGAACACCAAUAGCGAAGGCAGCUCGCUGGGACGGUACUGACGCUAAGGCGC